rnacentral:rRNA from 1 species
GACGAACGCUGGCGGCGUGCUUAACACAUGCAAGUCGAACGGGAUUUAGUAGACAGAAGCCUCGGCUAAAGAUUACUAAUGAGAGUGGCGAACGGGUGAGUAACGCGUGAGCAACCUGCCUAUGACAGUGGGAUAGCCUCGGGAAACCGGGAUUAAUACCGCAUAAAAUCGUAGAAACACAUGUUUUAACGGUCAAAGAUUUAUCGGUCAUAGAUGGGCUCGCGUCUGAUUAGCUAGUUGGUAAGAUAACAGCCCACCAAGGCGACGAUCAGUAGCCGGUCUGAGAGGAUGAACGGCCACAUUGGAACUGAGACACGGUCCAAACUCCUACGGGAGGCAGCAGUGGGGAAUAUUGCACAAUGGGGGAAACCCUGAUGCAGCGACGCCGCGUGAACGAAGAAGGUAUUCGUAUCGUAAAGUUCUGUCCUAUGGGAAGAUAAUGACAGUACCAUAGAAGAAAGCUCCGGCUAAAUACGUG